rnacentral:rRNA from 1 species
ACGAACGCUGGCGGCGUGCUUAACACAUGCAAGUCGAACGGAAAGGCCCUGCUUUUGUGGGGUGCUCGAGUGGCGAACGGGUGAGUAACACGUGAGUAACCUGCCCUUGACUUUGGGAUAACUUCAGGAAACUGGGGCUAAUACCGGAUAGGAGCUCCUGCUGCAUGGUGGGGGUUGGAAAGUUUCGGCGGUUGGGGAUGGACUCGCGGCUUAUCAGCUUGUUGGUGGGGUAGUGGCUUACCAAGGCUUUGACGGGUAGCCGGCCUGAGAGGGUGACCGGCCACAUUGGGACUGAGAUACGGCCCAGACUCCUACGGGAGGCAGCAGUGGGGAAUAUUGCACAAUGGGCGGAAGCCUGAUGCAGCAACGCGGCGUGCGGGAUGACGGCCUACGGGUUGUGAACCGCUUUCGAAUGUGACGAAGCGGGAGUGACGGUAAUGGGUAAGGAAGCACCGGCUAACUACGUG